UCCCCGCCCGCGUUGUGGCCAAUCGGAGGCCACCAAGCUGCGGCUGUAGCCGGCCGGAUCCACCGCAGCCGCCCGCCCCCGCCCUGCCGGAGCGCCCCGUUUUUGCUGCAGCCCAUGGGUGGGGGUUGUUGCCGGAGGGAAGCCUGGGGUGCGCAGAACACCGCCCCAGCAGGUGGAGGGGCUGUGGGAAAUAACUUGCUCGGGAACUUGAUUGGUGACAGGUUCCUCUUUGGACCAUAAGGAGGAAUCGUGUUUGAAAAUAAAUUCAGUGUUUUCAUGGAAAAUAUAAACAGGAGUGAGUCAUGCCAGAAAAAAACAAAAAAACAAAAACAGGACGUGGAAUUUGGACAAGAGCGUGGGAUGACAGCCUUUGAGCCUCCAGAACAGACAGGAAUGUCCACAAGACAAGGAUCCGGAUAAGUCAGAGUCCACUGAGGGCCAUUCAGUCUGUUCUCUCCCAGAGAUCUGCCCAUCUCUUCUGAAGAGCAAGUCAUCACUGGCACCAGAAUAACGUCCCUCUGAGAUGCUCACCAGUGGGAAUGUGGGCUGGUAUUCUCAGUUCUCAAAUUGUUUCCUCAACAAAUAUUAGAAACCUGUCUAUACUUCAAAAAUUCCUGUCAUAUUAUUUUUAUGAAGGUGGAGACGAUGUAAAAUGGCUCUUUCUAGUUUAUAGCCUUUCUUUAAGUCAAAAAUAGGCAAUAUCCAUAUGUUAAUGAGACAGUGUAAAAGCAUUAGCUGAAGAAGGUCUAUAUUAUUUUUAAUUUUUUCUCAUUUUCUGGAACUUCUUUUUUUGCAUGUAGAACUUCACAGAUUGAUCAUAAAUUUUCUUAUCUCUCUCGCCCCUCCUUUCUCUCUUUCUUUCAAAGAAAUAUUUUGGGAAAUUUCCUUAGCUUUAACUUCCAGCCUCUCUGUUAAAUAUUUUGCCAUAUUUUUUAUUUUCAAGAGAUUUGAACUUUUUUUGGUGGUUUGUUUCAUAGAAACUUGUUCUUGUGUCAUGGAUGUGACAGUCUCUCUCUUUAUACAUUGUUUAAAAGUUAUUUAAAACAAUUAUCUUGGUUUGAUAGCAGCAUUAACUUGGUUUUCUCUCUGUUGCUUUCUUGCAGUGUUUAUAUCUGCCUUUCAUGUUUGAGAGAUACUUUGUUGGGGGAAUUAUGUUUCGUAUACACUUUAGAAUUUCAUUUAAUCCUCCCAGUUUUAAAUAAGCCA